UACGUAGGAGGCGAGCGUUGUCCGGAAUUACUGGGCGUAAAGAGCGCGUAGGCGGCACGGUACGACCGGUGUGAAAGCCCCCGGCUCAACUGGGGAGGGUCACCGGUAACGGCCGAGCUACGAGUGCAGGAGAGGGAAGUGGAACUCCGGGAGUAGCGGUGAAAUGCGUAGAUAUCAGGAGGAACACCUGUGGUGUAGACAGCUUACUGGACCACGACUGACGCUGAGACACGAAAGCGUGGGUAGCAAACAGG
rnacentral:rRNA from 1 species